GAUCCAGCCAUGCCGCGUGAGUSAUGAAGGCCCUAGGGUUGUAAAGCUCUUUCACCGGUGAAGAUAAUGACGGUAACCGGAGAAGGAGCCCCGGCUAACUUCGUGCCAGCAGCCGCGGUAAUACGAAGGGGGCUAGCGUUGUUCGGAAUUACUGGGCGUAAAGCGCACGUAGGCGGAUCGGUCAGUUAGGGGUGAAAUCC
rnacentral:rRNA from 1 species